GCUGGUCAAAUGGGACUCGGGAUUCCUUCCGCUGCCUCCGCCCCCGCUCCGUCCCUUCUCGGGAUCGCCGAGCCUAGUCUGGGUCUGGAUUCCAGGAGAGGCGUCCCCAUCCUACGCUUGAAGGCAGAGCAAGGACGCUGCUCCAAAACACCCGGUUCAUCAGCUGAGCGGAAGCUGCAGGAAUCUACCCAAAUCCACCAGCGGCUGCUUUUGCCUCCCAGAAGCCGGGGCUAUCCGAGGUGGUUUGGAAAUGGCAUCGCCUAUGGCCAAGAUCGAGGGUUCUGCGGACAGAGAGGAGCCCUGGGUUCGCUUUCUGCCUCAUCCAGCUAGGUGACCUUGGGCAAGGUACUUAAAUUUCCAUGUGCCUUGUUUUCCUCAUCUUUAAGAUGGAGAGAAUGCUCCCGACCUUGACGGAUUGGCUCGAGGAUUACACUAGAACAGGCAGCCUAGGUUGGGAUUCUGGCAUUGACAUCAGCUAGUUGUGUGCCCUGGGGCAGGUUACUUAACCUCUCUGCCCUAGUUUCCUGAAAAAUAGGGAGCAUAACGGUACUUACCUCCGAGGGUUGUUGCCUGCAAAGCGCUUAACACUGCGAUGGAAGAGUAAGCGCUUAAUAAACUGUGGCUAUUAUGACUGUU
rnacentral:lncRNA from 1 species